GGGGGGGGGGGGGCUCAGGUGUGUUCAUGAGAGGCCUCGGUGCUGAUUAUCUCCCCUCCGGUGCGUCACCCGCGUCUGUUCUUUCCGCUCAGGGACUCUACUUCCUGUCAUGUCAGCUGAGCGCUUGCAUGAGGGCGACAUGAGCCCGCUGCGCCUUCCUCCAUUGUUCCUCCGUUCUGGCGUUUUCUAUUUUUUUCACCUUUUUAUCACAUGACAUUCAUGCAAUGAGCUGCAGGAUGACUUACACCUGAUGCUGCGCAGUAAGGUAUGAGAAUUACUUAGAAUUACUUUUUACAUUUAGAAAAAGAUCUUCAAAAGUUGAAAAUGUAAAAAGAAGAUUAAAUAAAUAAUCCAAAUGAAUGAUUAUAAAACAGAAUUUCAGAAUUUGAAGUUAUAAUAAAUACAUUUUAUGAACACAGAGUUGUUUACGCUCAGUAAGAUCACAUUUGUGAGAUGACGGUUAGCUCACUCUUAUUGUAAUAAAAAAUAAAAAAACCUCCAUUCUGUGCAUCAGACCGCGACACUUAGCUUCCUUAGCAACCACUCAAGGUAGAAAUGAGACCACUCUCUAAUUAAUCCAAAUCACAAGAGCAUCUUCAUCGGCCAGCGAUAUUCCUUCUAUUCACCAGAACGUCAUUACGUGUUCAUGCUGAUACUAUUAAUAAGACACGGCAUUAUCUGAUGAUUUUAAUACGUAUUUCACAACAAAUAUAAGAUGUACAAAUCCCAGCGUCUGACCUGCAGGCACCACUACCUGCCUGUGCUGCUCCUGUGAGCAAUAAAGUCAACCUUUAAUGGGAAAUAUUCAGCCUUCUGAUGUCAGCAGGAGAAGCUAAAAACGCCGGUCGUGCAGAAAAAGGUCAGCGGCUUGUUGUUUAUUUGCGGAUAUCAGACCUGCAAAAAAAAACCGUGUGACCUCUGAGGCCUCCGAUGGAGCCGGGAGCGCCGAGCGCUGGGACCAGGAUGCUUCUGAAGGACGCCGUUUCCUAAUCAGCUUCCUCGCCGGGGUUCAUUAUGCAGCCGGCGGGACACGGCGAUGAGCUCAAGUCAAACGGCGUACGGAUGGAAGAUAAACCUUUAAACCCCCGACGCGGGUCAUACUGAGCGCCGUGGCCUCUGAUCCGCCACCCGACAGCCGGGCGAGAUCCUCCCCAAGGCACAUUUCAGAGUUUCUGUCCGAUGCCCUUCAUGACCACACCGCCGUGCUGCUGUGCUGUCAUGUCAGUCCUUUGCCUUCGUGUCGAGUUGCGGCUGCGAGGACGGCUCCUCGUCGCUCUACUGGUCGGCCGCUGUGACCAGUUCAAACCACUGCCUGAGUGCGUCGCUCAGGGUCUCCGGCAAGGCGUUGACGUCGCGCAGGAUGACGUAGAAGGGGAAGGGGAACUCCUCCAUGUAGGAGCGGAUCUCGGGCAGCUCUCCGGGCCCUUUGAAGAUGGGCACCUUGAUGUCCAGGAUGGAGUCCUGCGGCGCAGCACCGAGCUUACGGUUACACUGUGUCCGGAGGACAUUCGGGGCCCAGUACAUCAUUUCAUUUCAUUUCUCUUACCCGGGAGUUCGGGUUGUCGAGCGCCACGAACAUGAUGAACACGUUGGCGCUGCGUGCGGCGCGCACGGCCGCCAUCACCCGCUCCUUCCCCUCCAGGAACAAGCCGCGCCCGUCGGACACGAUGACCAGCAGCUGGGCGGUCUCUGUGGAGAGAGAGAG
ensembl:lncRNA